rnacentral:rRNA from 1 species
GACGAACGCUGGCGGCGUGCUUAACACAUGCAAGUCGAACGGAAAGGCCCCUUUGGGGGUACUCGAGUGGCGAACGGGUGCGUAACACGUGAGUAACCUGCCCUUGACUUCGGGAUAACUUCAGGAAACUGGGGCUAAUACCGGAUAGGAAUCCUUGCUGCAUGGGGGGGGUUGGAAAGCUUCGGCGGUUUUGGGUGGACUCGCGGGUUAUCAGCUUGUUGGUGGGGUGGUGGCUUACCAAGGCGUCGACGGGGAGCCGGCCUGAGAGGGCGACCGGCCACAUUGGGACUGAGAUACGGCCCAGACUCCUACGGGAGGCAGCAGGGGGGAAGAUUGCACAAUGGGCGGAAGCCUGAUGCAGCAACGCCGCGGGCGGGAUGACGGCCUUCGGGUUGUAAACCGCUUUCAGCAGGGGCGAAGCUUGUGGUGACGGUACCUGCAGAAGAAGCACCGGCUAACUACGUG